AUUCUCGAUCAUACCAUGUUGAAAACACCAGUUCUCGUUCGAUUACUGAAGUUAAGCAAUAUCGGGCGCGAUUAGUACUUAAAUAGGUGAACCAUUGUCAACAUCGAUAGUGCGAUUG
rnacentral:rRNA from 1 species